AGGAUUGUAGUUAAAAAUAACAUCUGGGUUGCAUUCAGAAAGUACUGUAAAAGUCUAUCUUA
rnacentral:tRNA from 1 species